rnacentral:rRNA from 1 species
GACGAACGCUGGGGGGGGGCUAAACACUUGAAAGUGGAACGAAAAGCCCCGGCUUUGGGGGGUGGCUGAGGGGGGAACGGGGGAGGAAACCGUGAGUUACCCGGCCCUGAACUUGGGGUUACUUUAGGAAACCGGGGGUAAUAACCGAAUGGAGCCUCUGCCGCCUGGUGGGGGUUGGAAAGUUUCGGCGGUUGGGGAUGGACUCGCGGCUUAUCAGCUUGUUGGUGGGGUAGUGGCUUACCAAGGCUUUGACGGGUAGCCGGCCUGAGAGGGUGACCGGCCACAUUGGGACUGAGAUACGGCCCAGACUCCUACGGGAGGCAGCAGUGGGGAAUAUUGCACAAUGGGCGGAAGCCUGAUGCAGCAACGCCGCGUGCGGGAUGACGGCCUUCGGGUUGUAAACCGCUUUCGCCUGUGACGAAGCGUGAGUGACGGUAAUGGGUAAAGAAGCACCGGCUAACUACGUG